GUGCUUGCUUCGGCAACACAUAUACUAAAA
rnacentral:snRNA from 1 species